rnacentral:misc_RNA from 1 species
GGUGAACAAUUCAGAAAAGGUUAAAUCCUGCUCUCCUUCCGUGUGCUAUAAGUGCUUGUUAUAGAUACUGUUGAUGUUGUUGGAUCCAUGGAUCUUAUGAUGUCCAGUAAAUUAUUCUCUUAACAGCGACAUCUAAAACUUGUAUAAAGUUUAAAGGGGAAAAAGACCUAACUGCAUUAUCCAUUUCUCUUGAAAGUUUUACAAGCCAGUUUACAAUCAUGCAAAUAAU